CACAAUAUUAAUGACGAUUAAUAAUAAUAAUAAUAAUAAUAAUAAUAAUAAUAAUGCUGUCUUCAUUCCUAUGUGGGGCUAUGUCCUUGCCUUAUAGAAAUUCCGUUGACUUUCAGACAAUGGGCUCUUCCUGACAUGUGAUCUUUCUGGGAGCUGCUGGAGCUGGCUCUUCCCCUGCUAUUAGCCAUCCAUCAGCAUUCCUGUCAGGGACACUUCUGGCUCCUGAUCAGCAGGAAGAAAUGCAGGCUGCAGAGGAAUGCCAGGAGCACAGGAAAUCUCGGAGAUCCUAAAAUCUGGACUCAUAGCCCACUUCCAUCUCCGCUUUUCCUGGUACUCCCUCCUGCCUGCAACAGCCUGAGAUGCCGGAACUCAACUUGCCGCUUUUCCAACUAAGUAUUUCUGGAACUCACUGAUCUGCCUAUUCGCUACAAUCCGGUCUAAGAGGCGCCAGGGAGUUCCAUACAGCCUGGACUACAAUGAAACAACCAGCUACCCCAGGAUGUGGUAGCACCCCAACCUUCUCGGGUCCCCCAAAGAUGGUCAACGCCCCCCACGUCAGCAGGAAGCAGUCUUAAGAAUUCGACGCCCUUAUUCCUUAACCUGCCAUGUCUAAACACCCCACCUUUUUUUAAUAAUAAGUAGAGGUGGGAAUGAAAGGUUCAGGCAUUAUGCUGGCCUGCCCCUGUUACCUGGUGGAAUCCACUCAGGCAAUACCCUGGUCAGCCCAAGGUUCCAUGGGAAAGAAGUCUGCACGCAGGUGCAGAGGACCCCUUUAAAAGAUAGGCCCCUGCACCUUUACUCUCUCUCUCUCUCUCUCUCUCUCUCUCUCUCUCUCUCUCUCUCUCUCCCUCUCUCCCUCUCUCUCUCUCCCGUCUCUCUCUCUCUCUCUGUGUGCUCUCUGUUUCCCCCGCUCUGUCUCUCUAUGGCGACCGGCCAUGGCGGUCAGCCAUUACCCUGUUCCUCUUCUUAGUCUACCCAUUCUACCGGGCCUUAUAAUAAACUUAUAGUCAAUAUGUCUGUCUCAGCAAUUUCUCUUUUCUUCUUUUUAAACAAAACAAUAACAGUGGGGAUUGGUCAGAUUUCAAUCCCGGAGCUCAGAAUGGCUAGAUCUCAUGCUCAGUGAUUGGUUGGUUUUUUGCUCAGGUUCAGGGUCAGAUUUGGCUCUGAUUUCAGGGACAAAGUGUGUUUCUUUCACUGGCUCUGAUUCCAGGGACAAAGUGUGUUUCUUUGACACUGGUAUCAGGGUCAGGGUACAUUUCUUUGAUUCUGGUUGCAGGUCCAAAAUAUGUUUCUUUGGCUCUGCUCAGGGUGUGUUUCUUUGGCUGGCCCCUUUUCCCUACACUCAUCUCUGCAAAGCCUUUUAGCUUUUGGAGGUUUGUUGUUGUUGUUGUUUUUGUUUUCUUCGGAUAUUUGGAGCUGAGUGAGUGACAAAAGCCAAAUUUAAUGCCCUAGCGUUUCCUGGAGCCAGUGGAUCAAAGAGAUGUAAAUCCUAGUAGCUUCUUGUAAUUGUGAGAAAUGCUCCAGGAGACUCUUCUGGGCCCUGAAGGACCCGCAGUAGUCUUAGACAUAUUUGUGGGGUUUUGAGCUGCACUCAAAUUCUAGUCAUAAGGUACCCGUGAAGUGUCCAGGACCUGGGAAUCUGUGUAAGUAUUGGGGUUCCAAUCAUGGUGGUUGGAUGGGAAAACUACUUCAAAAGUAAUUUUUCCGCAUUCAUACCAGUGGCUGAGGCCAAAAAAGCCUUUAUUGCCUCUGCUACCACAAUGUUGUUUCCUCUGAAGUGUAGAGUUGCUAGCAAUCAUCCCAGGCUAGCAAUCAUCCCAGUGUUUAGGACCGAUCGGAGGAAGGGGGUAAGUCUGAGUCCUCCAAUUAUGCAAAUCUGAAGUAGAUCGGGAAAGAGUGACCCCCUGCCUCUAAGACCUUGCCACCCCCCCCACCCCCGCCGCCGCUCCAAGAGGAGGUGGAGCAUCUUGUGACACAAAAACCGAGGCUGGGACCUGAGUCCAGGGCAUGGCUGGUUGUAGGAAGUGUGGGAGGUUGGGGAAACUGGCUAUAUCCAUCCAUCAGGGGAUAUAGAAGUAGUCACAGAGGGGAAGGAAGCAAAGAUCCAGAAGGGGACGUUGGUGAAGUAGGGAUGGCUUCGGUCGCGGAGGUGGAUAGAGUGCGGUGGGACAGGAUAGAGGAAGAAUCUGAAAGAGGUGGGGAACACGGGGGACAUGGGCUGCACACAGAGGGAAAGCAGCCAAGUAAGAAGAUCCUUAGCCUCGGAAGGCAGCAGAACAAGCACAAGCGGCGGGAGGCUGGUGACAGGGCCCGCACACCAGCACCUGGAAGCCCAGUGGUCAGCUCCCGACUGCAAGGAGCCGGGAGUUGUAUCUCCCUCCCCUCCAGCGCUUCCGCAGGUCCUCCAUCAAGCCGCC
rnacentral:lncRNA from 1 species